UCAUUUGUCUCUUUACAACUGCCUUCACACUCUCUCGAACCUUCCCCCUUCUUCUACGAACCCAUUUGCUGCAUCUCUCAACCUCUGCAAAUUCGACUCUAAAAUGGAAUCAAUCAUUGGUUCACUUACCUUAUUGAUCUCCCCUCACUACUAGUCAUCUAUUUAUGGUGUUACUUAGGUGUUUGCCUAAGUUUGGAAAGUUAGAUCUUCUGAGAUAGGCCUAACGUGGCUUGAACCUUUGAUUAUGAGCAUUAUUUUAUCUAAAUACACUCAGUAUCAUGCUAUGUUGGAGUCCGAUUUAGUGAGAUCUCUAUCGAUUUGUGUUUUCUCUCUAGAGAACUAGGGUUUACCCGUUUUCUCUCCUAAAUUGAUCUGAAUCAACUUUGCAUGCUUUCAUACCUUAUAUUAGGUUUAAUUUACUUUUUUU
rnacentral:lncRNA from 1 species